rnacentral:rRNA from 1 species
AACGCAAUCUGUUUAUCAUUGAGUGCUUGGACUCCGCGUUUUAAGUGCGAGUGGCGAACGGGUGAGUAACACGUGGGCAAUCUGCCCAAAAGUGGGGGAUAACACUUGGAAACAGGUGCUAAUACCGCAUCAACCGGCUGACCGCAUGGUCGGCCGGGCAAAGACGGCGUCAACUGUCGCUUUUGGAUGAUCCCGCGGCGUAUUAACUAGUUGGUAAGGUAACGGCUUACCAAGGUGAUGAUACGUAACCGAACUGAGAGG